rnacentral:rRNA from 1 species
GAUGAACGCUGGCGGCGUGCUUAACACAUGCAAGUCGAACGGAAAGGCUCCUGCUUGCAGGGGUACUCGAGUGGCGAACGGGUGAGUAACACGUGGGUGAUCUGCCCUGCACUUCGGGAUAAGCCUGGGAAACUGGGUCUAAUACCGGAUAGGACGAUGGUUUGGAUGCCAUUGUGGAAAGUUUUUCGGUGUGGGAUGAGCUCGCGGCCUAUCAGCUUGUUGGUGGGGUAAUGGCCUACCAAGGCGUCGACGGGUAGCCGGCCUGAGGGGGUGUACGGCCCCUUUGGGCCUGGGUUACGCCCCGGCCCCCCCGGGGGGGCAGCGUGGGGGAUUUUUGCCCAAGGGGCGCACCCCUGUUGCGGGGCCCCCGCGGGGGGGAUGCCGGCCUUGGGUUUGUAAACCCCUUUCCCUGGGGCCGAGGCGCAAGUGCCGGUCCCUGGAGAAGACGCACCGGCUACCUCCGU